rnacentral:rRNA from 1 species
UACGUAGGGUGCAAGCGUUAAUCGGAAUUACUGGGCGUAAAGCGUGCGCAGGCGGUCUUGUAAGACAGAGGUGAAAUCCCCGGGCUCAACCUGGGAACUGCCUUUGUGACUGCAAGGCUGGAGUGCGGCAGAGGGGGAUGGAAUUCCGCGUGUAGCAGUGAAAUGCGUAGAUAUGCGGAGGAACACCGAUGGCGAAGGCAAUCCCCUGGGCCUGCACUGACGCUCAUGCACGAAAGCGUGGGGAGCAAACAGGAUUAGAUACCCUGGUAGUCCACGCCCUAAACGAUGUCAACUGGUUGUUGGGUCUUAACUGACUCAGUAACGAAGCUAACGCGUGAAGUUGACCGCCUGGGGAGUACGGCCGCAAGGUUGAA